UACUGCGUACCGUUUUAUCACAGAAAUCGCAGCUAAGAUGUCGUAAGAUUUGUGCUUAAAGCUACGACUGGGUAAGACCACUCUUAGCGUUCGUAAACCUUCGUAAACAUGGCGGCCGCACGCGCUUUAAACGUUGGUCAACCAAGAGAGAUGAGAAUGUUUCGAGAAAGAAAGGAUUUAGCGAUCUCCGUGAUGGAGAAAUAUUGAUACUAUUGGACGUAUUUAUGUUUGAUAACGUUAAAUAUAUUCGUUAUAUCAUUCUCUGCGUUAAACGUCCAAGGGAAAUGAAAUUUGUGAUGUUUGGAUAAUUAAUUCGUUAAAUAGGUUCAUUAAGAUUGUGUCAAAAUGGCUUGGGUCAACACACACAACGCCUCUGUCUUUGUCCGUGGUUUGAAGACUUUUCAGGAAGAAAACCACAAGAGACACCUACUGGGGGACUCUGGCUAUCAACAAUAGGUACAACAAUGCCUAGUCAAGUGUACUGUGGUUGAUAGGGCUUUUGGACUGCCAAAGAGUAGAUUUAGGUGUCUACAUAAAACUGGCGGUUGUUUAUUCAUGAGACUCGAUGAGUACUGUCAAGCAGUGGCUGCAUGAAUGCGCCUGCAUAACUUAUGAAUAGAUUAGCAGGUGCCACUGCCUGAACAACUUACUGAGGCACAAGAAGGGGAUGACGUUGUGCACAGUCCACAACAGGACCAAAAUGCAGCUUAUAUGGACAACACAUCAUUAACUUAUUUAUGUAGUUGCUGUUUUAUGCUCACAUGUGCACGAAGUGCUAUAGGUGAGUCAUUGUGGUCAGUCUAUGUUCGGCGACAUGUGUAAAUAUUCAAUAUUUGACUCUUUGUUGAUGAAAGAUGGUCAUUAUGUUUCUGCUAAUGAUACAUAAUAACUUAAUAAGUUAAUGAUUUCUUGUCUAUGACCUGCUGCAUUUCGGUCAAGUGUGGUCAACAUCUUCUAAAAGUGUGGAUAUUGACAAUUUCUGCCGUUCUUUUUUGGAUUUUUUUUCAUUAAAGACACACUUUUUACAAUAUUCAUUUAUGCAAUGCGUACGAUGAUUACAUGUUUCCUUUAUGGUAUAACAAAGUGAAAAUAAAUUCUACUCCUUUAUUAAAUUAUCUUUGUAACAUAAUAAUACAGGGUUUUCUCCAACAACUCUACAGCUAGGGAACAAUGAAGUGGAACACUAUCUGAAUAUGAAAUACAUUUUAUGUUAAUAAAAUUUGUAUUUGUAAGACAAGUGAUGAAAUAAAAGGUUAACAUUGUAACAUAAUGAGAUGUGGUUUGUGUUUGUUCUUUAAAGAGCAUGUACUGUGUGUACUGCACAUCAGACAAGAUUCUGUUGAAACUAAUAGUUUCAUAUACAAAAUUCUUGAGAAUGAAUUGUAUCAUUUAUGUUAAGAUGGAUUGUUGAUUCAUUAUUACACAUUCAUGAUCUACACUUCAUAAGUUAAUCUUUAAUUUUCAUGGAACUCACAUCUUUUUUUUCUUACCGGCUCAAAUGACUGGGCCUCACAUGCGCUGUUUCGCGGAUUUCCUAUAAUGAUUAUAUAUGAAUGAAUAUGACUCAUAAAAUAACAUA